UACGAAGGGGGCUAGCGUUGUUCGGAAUUACUGGGCGUAAAGCGCACGUAGGCGGAAUGUUAAGUCAGGGGUGAAAUCCCGGGGCUCAACCCCGGAACUGCCUUUGAUACUGGCAUUCUCGAGUCCGGAAGAGGUGAGUGGAAUUCCGAGUGUAGAGGUGAAAUUCGUAGAUAUUCGGAGGAACACCAGUGGCGAAGGCGGCUCACUGGUCCGGUGCUGACGCUGAGGUGCGAAAGCGUGGGGAGCAAACAGG
rnacentral:rRNA from 1 species